rnacentral:rRNA from 1 species
AUUGAACGCUGGCGGCAGGCCUAACACAUGCAAGUCGAGCGGUAACAGGUCCUUCGGGAUGCUGACGAGCGGCGGACGGGUGAGUAAUGCAUAGGAAUCUGCCCGGUAGUGGGGGAUAACCUGGGGAAACCCAGGCUAAUACCGCAUACGUCCUACGGGAGAAAGGGGGCUCCGGCUCCCGCUAUUGGAUGAGCCUAUGUCGGAUUAGCUAGUUGGUGAGGUAAUGGCUCACCAAGGCCGCGAUCCGUAGCUGGUCUGAGAGGAUGAUCAGCCACAUCGGGACUGAGACACGGCCCGAACUCCUACGGGAGGCAGCAGUGGGGAAUAUUGGACAAUGGGCGAAAGCCUGAUCCAGCCAUGCCGCGUGUGUGAAGAAGGCCCUCGGGUUGUAAAGCACUUUCAGCGAGGAAGAACGCCUAGGGGUUAAUACCCCCUAGGAAAGACAUCACUCGCAGAAGAAGCACCGGCUAACUCCGUGCCAGCAGCCGCGGUAAUACGGAGGGUGCAAGCGUUAAUCGGAAUUACUGGGCGUAAAGCGCGCGUAGGUGGCUUGAUAAGCCGGUUGUGAAAGCCCCGGGCUCAACCUGGGAACGGCAUCCGGAACUGUCAAGCUAGAGUGCAGGAGAGGAAGGUAGAAUUCCCGGUGUAGCGGUGAAAUGCGUAGAGAUCGGGAGGAAUACCAGUGGCGAAGGCGGCCUUCUGGACUGACACUGACACUGAGGUGCGAAAGCGUGGGUAGCAAACA